rnacentral:rRNA from 1 species
AUUGAACGCUGGCGGCAUGCCUUACACAUGCAAGUCGAACGGCAGCACGGGGGCAACCCUGGUGGCGAGUGGCGAACGGGUGAGUACUGCAUCGGAAUGUACCCAGUAGUGGGGGAUAACUAGUCGAAAGACUAGCUAAUACCGCAUACGCACUGAGGUGGAAAGCGGGGGAUCGCAAGACCUCGCGCUAUUGGAGCAGCCGAUGCCCGAUUAGGUAGUUGGUGGGGUAAAAGCCUACCAAGCCGACGAUCGGUAACUGGUCUGAGAGGACGACCAGUCACACUGGGACUGAGACACGGCCCAGACUCCUACGGGAGGCAGCAGUGGGGAAUUUUGGACAAUGGGGGAAACCCUGAUCCAGCAAUGCCGCGUGUGUGAAGAAGGCCUUCGGGUUGUAAGCACUUUUGGUCGGGAACGGAAACGGCGCUGGUUAAUACCUGGCGCUAAUGACGGUACCCGCAGAAUAAGCACCGGCUAACUACGUGCCAGCAGCCGCGGUAAAUCACGUA